rnacentral:lncRNA from 1 species
ACGUGAGCAUUAUCAUAAGCCCAUCGAACGAUACCACAAUGUUCCUCAAACUGUGAUGCUUAAACACUUGUAUCGACCUUUCGGCAUUCUAAUGUUGGUGCUUCAAUAAUACACUGUUGUGUGUAUGCUAUGAUCUGCAUGAUGCAUGUGGAACGCUGUAUAGCACCUGUCUAUCUCGAAUUAUAACACUAUAUAGCACCUACCUUCGGAUGUUCUUCGAGCUGUGAUGCCAAAAUAAUCGUAUCCACCUUUCCGAUUGUAGCGAGGCCCCCUGUCUAUCUCGAAAACACAAAUAAAUGAGGCCAAAUAUGAAAUUUGAGCAUAUAAAACAA